GGCAUCGGUAGUCAUCAAUAUCAAGCAUCGGCACCGAUCAACCACCGUUCCCAGACUUGAUCAUAUCCUGCUGCUUUAUCAUCGGUAUCAUAAGCCAUCGGCAGCUCCCUCGUCGACCAGUACUAAUUUUUCAUUUGCCGAUCCAAACUUCAUUAACUUUCCUCACACAUGUCCAAAAAUGGUUUCAACACGUUUGUUCGACCGUAUUUCCAUAUUCGAGGCUAGGGUCGUUACCGUGCUAUGGGUCGAGCUACUGCUUCAAUGAGCCCACGUUCAUACUGGAUUAUCGAGCCUGAACCUCGAUUUGUCCUUCAACUUUUUCCGUUAUUAAUGUUUGUUGGGGCACGCCUUAUAGAUACCCUCGACAAACAUCGUCCCCACCACCGCAGUGCUAGAGCCCUGCUCUGUCGAGCACCGUCCUCACUGUGCUCUGACCCUGGAAAUGCACCUGCACAGCCACGUCGGGUCAGAGUUUCACCGGCUGCGCGUCCACCUCCCAACUCCGAUGCCCACGAAUGCCCCUUAGCCAAGCAC
rnacentral:lncRNA from 1 species